rnacentral:rRNA from 1 species
GCUGGCGGCAGGCCUCAAACAUGCAAGUCUAGGGGGCGUAGCAAUACGUCACCGGCGGACGGGUGCGUAACACGUGGGAAUGUACUUAUUGGUUCGGAACAACUCAGGGAAACUUGAGCUAAUACCGAAUGUGCCCGUAAGGGGAAAGAUUUAUCGCCAAUAAAUCAGCCCGCGUCCGAUUAGCUAGUUGGUGGGGUAAAGGCCCACCAAGGCGACGAUCGGUAGCUGUUCUGAGAGGAAGAUCAGCCACACUGGGACUGAGACACGGCCCAGACUCCUACGGGAGGCAGCAGUUGGGAAUCUUGGACAAUGGGGGAAACCCUGAUCCAGCCAUGCCGCGUGAGUGAUGAAGGCCUUAGGGUUGUAAAACUCUUUCGGCGGGGACGAUAAUGACGGUACCCGCAGAANAAGCUCCGGCUAACUUCGUGCCAGCAGCCGCGGUAAUACGAAGGGGGCUAGCGUUGUUCGGAAUUACUGGGCGUAAAGCGUGCGC